GAGGUGGUGCUCAUCGAGGCCCUCAUUCUGAAUUCUGACGUGGUCGCAAAGGGUGUAGUCGCGGAGGAUCUUGGAGCACUGCCAUCGAUCGGCCUUGGCAUGGUCGCGGCACUCGGAGGCGAUCCAGCAGGUGGUGGCAGCGUUGUGGCCGGCCGCUGAAAUAGGUUAGGGCUUAGGAUUUUUUUUUUUUAAUUUUUGAAAGGAUGGUGU
rnacentral:lncRNA from 1 species